AAUGGAAUUAAGACUGAGUUAAUAACCUGACUAGGACUAAGGUUAGGAUGCAUCAUGUUUUCUAUUCUUGUGUGUUGAUUUGGUUGAGUGCAGGUUCCCGUUAUCUUUAAGGAUAGUUUCAUAGCAGGAGGCUGGACUAUCUGGAUAACGGUUUGAUUUAAUUGAUUAGUAUUGAUUAUUAUUGCUUAGUUGUUUAGUAGUUAGUACUAAGGGUCUUAGGCCAUAUAGGCCGGACUACUGGUACAAUUGGUUAGUCUUGUGGAGUCGAGUGUCUAGUUAGGAUCUGGAACUUUAUAGUUACGUUAGGUUCUAGAUUGAGUUUGUGUUGUGUGAGUGGUGCCGACAGUAUGUGCGUAACCCGCCCAUACUAGGCUUGUGUAGGGG
rnacentral:lncRNA from 1 species